rnacentral:lncRNA from 1 species
UGGGCUCCUCCCGCUGCGGGCCGCCCGCCCGGACGCAAGGCACAGGGGGACGCCCCGCCGAGCCGCUGCCCACUGCACCGAGUUUUUCGGAGGCUGGGAGAGGAAAUGCCACUUGGAUUUUAAAACCGUCACCGAUACGCUAUAGCCCUGCUUUCUCUACCUCCAGUCGUUUUCUGAGGACCGGCUUGGUGGGUGCUGAUGCCUGCCUGGAAGACCUCACACCCACAGUGUCUUAGAAGAUUCUGAAAGCAGUGUGAGACCAGAAUGACCAGCAAAGGAGAAAAGAACAAGGACACAUUGCAGCCAAAAUGGAGCUAGAAUCUUGCCUCUGUCCAUCCUUCACUGGAGUUAUCCUGGAUGGAGAAGGAACCAUAUCACCUGCAAAGCCUGGAAGGGGAGCCCUGCUGUGAGACCCAGAGAUGGAAGAUGGUCCUGACUUGAAAGUGCCAUUUGUGUAGUUCCAGUGCCCAGAGCUUCCUUCCUCACUGAUCCCUCCUGUGGGCUUGGACUCUGGCACACUGGCUGUGAAGUGUUUUUUGUUUUUUCCUUGAGACAGGGUCUU